GCGAUGUAGCUCAGUUGGCUAGAGCAAAUGGUUCAUACCCAUUAGGUCGGUGGUUCGAAUCCACUCGUCGC
rnacentral:tRNA from 1 species